rnacentral:tRNA from 1 species
GCCGACGUGGUGGAAUUGGUAGACACGCCGUCUUGAGGGGGCGGUGGCGCAAGCCGUAUGAGUUCGAGUCUCAUCGCCGGCACCA